UACGUAGGGGGCAAGCGUUGUCCGGAUUUAUUGGGCGUAAAGAGCGUGUAGGCGGCUAUUUAAGUCCUGCGUGAAAUCCUGCGGCUCAACCGCAGACGGUCGUGGGAAACUGGAUGGCUAGAGUGCGGGAGAGGAGAGUGGAAUUCCCGGUGUAGCGGUGAAAUGCGCAGAUAUCUGCAGGAACACCCGUGGCGAAGGCGGCUCGCUGGACCGCAACUGACGCUGAGGAACGAAAGCUAGGGGAGCAAACAGG
rnacentral:rRNA from 1 species